UACGUAGGGGGCAAGCGUUGUCCGGAUUUAUUGGGCGUAAAGAGCGUGUAGGCGGCCAUACAGGUCCGUUGUGAAAACUGGAGGCUUAACCUCCAGACGUCGAUGGAAACCGUAUGGCUAGAGUCCGGAAGAGGAGAGUGGAAUUCCUGGUGUAGCGGUGAAAUGCGCAGAUAUCAGGAGGAACACCAGUGGCGAAGGCGACUUCCUGGCCUGUUCUUGACGCUGAGGCGCGAAAGCUAGGGUAGCAAACGGG
rnacentral:rRNA from 1 species